UAUAUAUUAUUUAAUAUUUAUUAAUUUAAUGUAUAGUUUAUAAUUUUAUAAUAAUAAAAUUUCAAAUUUUGUUCGUGGACGAGAACGUGCUGCCCCUGGUUAGAAACUAAAAUUAAGGUUUUCUUUAGAAUAAGCUUUUGUUUUUUUUAUAAUUUUAUAAUAAUAAAAUUUCAAAUUUUGUUCGUGGACGAGAACGUGCUGCCCCUGGUUAGAAACUAAAAUUAAGGUUUUCUUUAGAAUAAGCUUUUGUUUUUGUGUUCAAAUUUUAACACAAACCGUUGCGUUAAUAUGAAACGUAAUAAUAUUCAUAGCCAUUGAUUGAUAGAUUAGCUUGUAACUGUUCAUUGGUGCAUUUUUUUCCACUGUAGCGAUAGAACGCACAUUUGUUUUCUUUUUCGUAGUUAUAGUUUUUGGAUUUGCUUUGUUAGGUUGUGGUUCGCUGACUUUGAUCUACUUACAUUACACUUUUCCUU